rnacentral:rRNA from 1 species
AUUGAACGCUGGCGGCAGGCCUAACACAUGCAAGUCGAGCGAGCGGCGGACGGGUGAGUAAUGUAUGGGGAUCUGCCCGAUAGAUGGGGAUAACUACUGGAAACGGUAGCUAAUACCGCAUACUAUCGGAUGAACCCAUAUGGGAUUAGCUAGUAGGUGGGGUAAAGGCUCACCAAGGCGACGAUAUCUAGCUGGUCUGAGAGGAUGAUCAGCCACACUGUGACGUAGACACGGCCCAGACUCCUACGGGAGGCAGCAGUGGGGAAUAUUGCACAAUGGGCGAAAGCCUGAUGCAGCCAUGCCGCGUGUAUGAAGAAGGCCGUAGGGUUGUAAAGUACUUUCAGCGGGGAGGCGUUACCCGCAGAAGAAGCACCGGCUAACUCCGUGCCAGCAGCCGCGGUAAUAC